rnacentral:rRNA from 1 species
UACAGAGGGUGCGAGCGUUGUCCGGAAUCACUGGGCGUAAAGGGCGCGUAGGCGGCUUUUCAAGUCGGGGGUGAAAGCCUGUGGCUCAACCACAGAAUUGCCUUCGAUACUGUUAGGCUUGAGACCGGAAGAGGUGAGUGGAACUGCGAGUGUAGAGGUGAAAUUCGUAGAUAUUCGCAAGAACACCAGUGGCGAAGGCGGCUCACUGGUCCGGUUCUGACGCUGAGGCGCGAAAGCGUGGGGAGCAAACAGG